GCUUCAACAUACAAGCUUCAACAAAAGAAAAUUCAAAGAACUUAGCGAAGAAGGCUUUGGGGUAUUUAACACAAUACGUUGAAAUGAAGGAAAGCUUAUUUAUUGAUAUCCCCGAUCAGCUACAAAUAUGUACAUAUACAUGAGUCAAAAUAAACACACAAGACGGAGCCUUCACAAAGGUUGCUUAGGAGAAGUCUCAGCAGUCGGUAGAGCCCCAGAAAGAGAAGGCACCAGAGGGGGAUCAUUUGGAGCCUCAGUACUGGACAGAACCCUAGAAGGAGGAGGCAUCAGAGGUUGAUCAUUCGGAGCGUCAUUACGCGGUACAGCCCCAGAAGACGAAGGCAAUAAAUGCCUUUGGAACAAACCCACAAAUCUCUGAUGAUCAAGUAAAACCUGACCAUCAGUUUCCUUCAUCUGGUCAAGCUUCCUCUUCAUGUUUGUAGCAUAGUCAUGUGCGAGCCGGUGCAACUAUUUAUUCUCAUGCUUGAGCCCUCUAAUCUCCUGUUUGAGACUCAUCACUUCAGCCGCCAAGGAUUCAACUUGGCGGGUUCGAGCAAAUAGGCGUUGGGCCAUAUUAGAC
rnacentral:lncRNA from 1 species